GAUGAACGCUGGCGGCGUGCCUAAUACAUGCAAGUCGAACGCUUCACUUCGGUGAAGAGUGGCGAACGGGUGAGUAAUACAUAAGUAACCUGGCAUCUACAGGGGGAUAACUGAUGGAAACGUCAGCUAAGACCGCAUAGGUGUAGAGAUCGCAUGAACUCUAUAUGAAAAGUGCUACGGGACUGGUAGAUGAUGGACUUAUGGCGCAUUAGCUGGUUGGUAGGGUAACGGCCUACCAAGGCGACGAUGCGUAGCCGACCUGAGAGGGUGACCGGCCACACUGGGACUGAGACACGGCCCAGACUCCUACGGGAGGCAGCAGUAGGGAAUUUUCGGCAAUGGGGGAAACCCUGACCGAGCAACGCCGCGUGAAGGAAGAAGUAAUUCGUUAUGUAAACUUCUGUCAUAGAGGAAGAACGGUGGAUAUAGGGAAUGAUAUCCAAGUGACGGUACUCUAUAAGAAAGCCACGGCUAACUACGUGCCAGCAGCCGCGGUAAUACGUAGGUGGCGAGCGUUAUCCGGAAUUAUUGGGCGUAAAGAGGGAGCAGGCGGCACUAAGGGUCUGUGGUGAAAGAUCGAAGCUUAACUUCGGUAAGCCAUGGAAACCGUAGAGCUAGAGUGUGUGAGAGGAUCGUGGAAUUCCAUGUGUAGCGGUGAAAUGCGUAGAUAUAUGGAGGAACACCAGUGGCGAAGGCGACGAUCUGGCGCAUAACUGACGCUCAGUCCCGAAAGCGUGGGGAGCAAAUAGGAUUAGAUACCCUAGUAGUCCACGCCGUAAACGAUGAGUACUAAGUGUUGGGUGUCAAAGCUCAGUGCUGCAGUUAACGCAAUAAGUACUCCGCCUGAGUAGUACGUUCGCAAGAAUGAAACUCAAAGGAAUUGACGGGGGCCCGCACAAGCGGUGGAGCAUGUGGUUUAAUUUGAAGCAACGCGAAGAACCUUACCAGGUCUUGACAUCGAUCUAAAGGCUCCAGAGAUGGAGAGAUAGCUAUAGAGAAGACAGGUGGUGCAUGGUUGUCGUCAGCUCGUGUCGUGAGAUGUUGGGUUAAGUCCCGCAACGAGCGCAACCCCCGUUGCCAGUUGCCAGCAUUAAGUUGGGGACUCUGGCGAGACUGCCGGUGACAAGCCGGAGGAAGGCGGGGAGGACGUCAAAUCAUCAUGCCCCCUAUGACCUGGGCUACACACGUGCUACAAUGGACAGAGCAGAGGGAAGCGAAGCCGCGAGGUGGAGCGAAACCCAUAAAACUGAUCUCAGUUCGGACUGCAGUCUGCAACUCGACUGCACGAAGAUGGAAUCGCUAGUAAUCGCGAAUCAGCAUGUCGCGGUGAAUAAAAUGUCGGGCCUUGCACU
rnacentral:rRNA from 1 species